UCUUCAGAUCGUAUAAAUCUUUCGCC
rnacentral:piRNA from 5 species